rnacentral:rRNA from 1 species
AGUGAACGCUGGCGGUAGGCCUAACACAUGCAAGUCGAACGGCAGCACAGUAAGAGCUUGCUCUUACGGGUGGCGAGUGGCGGACGGGUGAGGAAUACAUCGGAAUCUACUUUUUCGUGGGGAUAACGUAGGGAAACUUACGCUAAUACCCCAUACGACCUACGGGUGAAAGCAGGGGAUCUUCCGACCUUGCGCGAUUGAAUUAGCCGAUGUCGGAUUAGCUAGUUGGCGGGGUAAAGGCCCACCAAGGCGACGAUCCGUAGCUGGUCUGAGAGGAUGAUCAGCCACACUGGAACUGAGACACGGUCCAGACUCCUACGGGAGGCAGCAGUGGGGAAUAUUGGACAAUGGGCGCAAGCCUGAUCCAGCCAUACCGCGUGGGUGAAGAAGGCCUUCGGGUUGUAAAGCCCUUUUGUUGGGAAAGAAAAGCAGCAGGUUAAUACCCCGCUGUUCUGACGGUACCCAAAGAAUAAGCACCGGCUAACUUCGUG